rnacentral:misc_RNA from 1 species
UUCGUUUCGUCUGGCCAUUCGCGUUUUUCCUAGAGUCGGUGCGGGCUUCGUUGCGCGGUUGAUUUACAGUUGGUCUCUCUGGCCUGCCUGCGCCUGGAUAACGCAAAAAACCCAACCAGACUGCCUGCUGCCUGCUGCCUGGCUGCCUGCCGGCAGAACAAUCCAAUUCAUUGCCAACUCUGAAUUUAGCCGGCAAUAAAACCGAAAGUGUCUGGCAGCCAGCAUUCGUCCUCCUCUUUGAUGAGCCGCCGCCACCGCAGACCCCACUCGGAUGUGAUUGGAGAGAUCUUGGCGUUUCCGCCGUGCCGUGUCCUUCCGCGUCGCUAACAAGCUGAAGUGCCCGUGACUUGAGUUUCCCAAUGCCACUAAUCGCACACGUGAAAUACUUCGUUGCGUAGACGUCGGGGCCCUAUCGACGUCCGUCCCGUCCCGUCCCGUCCACGCCCCCCCGCUUCGCCUUCACUGCGUAAAACAAUCAGAAAUCGAGUGAAAUAAAAAACCCGAAAAAGAAAAACCGCACACAAAGCAAAUAAAGAGGAGAGAGAGCCAGAACCAGUGCCAGAGCCAGAGCCAGAGCACACAGUAGAAUAUACAGAGAAAUCAGCGGAAAAUAACAUUCGAAAGCAACGGCAAAAACGAAACGAAUGAAAUCAAAACACCAAAGAAGAGUAAAGCGACGACCCACACGGAAGAAAGCAGCAGAACGACAACAACAACCACAGCAGCAGCAGCAGCAGCAACCAGAGAGAACCCCAUAGAAGGGAGCAGGGUCCACCCACUAUAUGCCCUAGUAUUGUCCGUAAACGACGAGUACUUUAUUGUGGAAUGAAGGGCGGCGGUGCCUACAUCAGCAUUGGCUCAAGCACCAGCAGCAUCAACAGCAUGGGGAGCGGCAGCGGCAGUGGCAGCGGCAGCAAGAUGACGCUGGGAAAAUCUGUUAAAAUGUACCUGACCAUAUUCAUAGCCACGACCUGCAUCUACAUGGUGCUGUAUCAGUAUCACAUGUCCCGGGAACCCUUCGCGCCCAGCGAAGUCGGAAAGCAUCAAGAGAAAUCAUCAUCAUCGUCAUAUAUCGCCUCAUAUUUGUGGUCACCCAUGUCCCUGCUAAUGGCCAAUGCAACAACAACAACAACAACCACAACAACAACGACAGUGUCUUCAACAACAACAACAACAGCAACAGUAAGCAAUGCAGGACAGGUGGGACAGGGAUCAUCCUCUGGGUCCAUCCGAACGGUUUCAUUAGCUGCCACCCGACCCACACAAGCAUCGUCAUUGGCAUCGGCAUCGGCAUCAGCGGGUGGCGCCGCCGCCCAUAAGACUGCAGCAGCAACAACAACAACCACAUCAACCACUCCCCCAGCAACAAUUACAACAACAACAACAACAACAACAAGAGCCAAUCCGAUCGCCAAAAAAGGUCCAGCAUCCACAUCCAUGUCCCAGUCCCAGCUGGACGCUGCCCAUAAAAUUCGACCAACAUUCGUUGCCGCUUCAGAGCCCCCGCCCCUGUACAUAAUCACGCCCACCUACCGGAGGCCCGAGCAGCUGGCGGAACUGACGCGCCUCGGAUACACGCUGAAGCACGUGGCCAAUCUGCUGUGGCUGGUCAUCGAGGAUGCGAACAAGACGAACCCACUGGUGGCGCACACCCUGGACCGCAUCGGGGUGCCGUACGAGUACAUGGUGGCACCCAUGCCCGAGAAGUACAAGCAGACGAAAAAGGCCAAGCCGCGCGGCGUCUCCAACAGGAAUCGGGGCCUCGAGUAUCUGCGACAACAUGCCACCGAGGGCGUGCUCUACUUUGCCGACGAUGAUAAUACCUAUGACAUUAGCAUAUUCGAGCAGAUGCGGUACAUCAGCAAGGUGGGCAUGUGGCCCGUGGGGCUCGUGACCAAAACGGGCGUCAGCAGCCCCAUUAUACGGAACGGGAAGCUAGACGGCUACUACGAUGGCUGGAUAGGGGGACGGAAGUACCCCGUGGACAUGGCCGGAUUCGCGGUGAACAUCAAGUUCCUGAGGCAGCGACCCCACGCGCAGAUGCCCUUCAAGCCGGGCUAUGAAGAGGAUGGCUUCCUGCGGAGUCUCGCGCCGUUGGAUAACGACGAAAUAGAUCUGCUGGCCGACGAGUGCCGAGAUAUCCUCACCUGGCACACGCAGACCAAGAAGAAUCCCCCCGCACAGGCGUUGAACAAGACGCGCUACAGCAACACCAAUCUGGUGCACAUAGACAAGCUGCUGGUGCGUCCGUAAGGACGUCAGACUGUAGUUAGAUAUAGAUAGAUAUAGAUAAACCCGCGCAGGGGGUCCGUUUAGGAAAGCGAGUGAGCUCACAAAGUGUCCAUGGGCUUGACCAGUUGUACAGGUACAACCUUGUGUUAAAGUCCCGAUUCCACGCUUUUAUGUGGACUGUGAACCAAUCAGAAUUGAUCAGAUCAGUAGAUCCAGUAGGUGUACAUUAUUACCAUAAUCAUACGAUACGAUAGCUAGCUCUAAGCCGCACUCUCCUACGAUACAGCCAGGCUUUGUUUGACCCCAGACACCAGACACUAGACACUAGACACGGCUCCUACUACAUGCAUACGAUGGAAAUUUAUCAGAUUUCUCGGCCACAACGAAUUGGAUCGGAUGUUCCUAAAGCUACAAGAAGAUACCCCACAAAUUGUGCAUUCAAUUCCAUCAACCUUUUCACUCAUACCCAAGAGACAACCAAUGCGCGAGGUCAAGGCCUCCUCCCCAACCACAACAACUAUUGGUAAAUAGUAAAUGGUAAAUGUUAAAUGGGGACAAGGUGUCAACUAGAAACUUAUUUCCCGGAAUGCUCCUAAGGAACACUACCCAAAAAGCAGCUCAAAUGUGGGCCGCAGCCAUUUCAAUAAUUCAUGUUGACACAGUAUGUUCUGCAGGCAGACACGAGCCGGGUGGCACAGAUACUACCACUGCGACUAUCCUACCCGUAACUCAAGGCACGGACUGGCCCCAAAGCAUACCGAGCUCUGGGUGAACCGUCGAAUCGCGUGCAUGCCAGUCGAUGCGGCGGCGGG